CUCCUGAGUAGCUGCGACUAUAGGAGUGUGCCACCAUGCCUGGGUAAUUUUCAGAUUUUUUGUAGAGAUGGGGAUUCAACAUGUUUCCCAGGCAAUCUGAGAGCAAAUCCUGUUUAGACGCAGGCGAAGGUUCCUGGUGACCCAGGCUCUCACCUUACCGUGACUUACUGUCCUCCUGAGGGUGUCUGGAGCUUCAGUGCUGUGUGCUCUUGGCCUCCACACUGGGGGUGCCACCGACUCCCACUGUCCAGGGCUUCCAGUGGACUCUCCGAGGCACUGAUGUAGAAACUUCCCCAUUCGGUGCACCAAGAGCAGCCUCACACGGUGUGGGCCGAAUGAAGAGCUGCCAGAUCCCACAGAUGGAGUUAUUUCUCUUUUCCUCAGGCUUGAAUGCAGUGGCGCCAUCUCAGCUCACUGCAACCUCCACCUCCUGCGUUCAAGUGAUUCUCCUGCCUCAGCCUCCUGAAUAGCUGGGAUUACAGGCGCCUGCCACCAUGCCCGGCUAAUUUUCGUGUUUUUAGUAGAGACAGGGUUUCUCCAUGUUGGCCAGGUUGGUCUCUCACUCUUGACCUCAAGUGAUCCACCUGCCUUGGCCUGUCAUCUCAAAGUGCUAGGAUUACAGACAUGAGCCACAGCCUGACCUGAACUGUGGGGAAAAGAAAGAGAUCAGAUUGUUACUGUGUCUGUGUAGAAAGAAGUAGACAUAAGAGACUCCAUUUUGGUCUGUACUAAGAAAAAUUCUUCUGCCUUGAGCUGCUGUUAAUCUGUAACCCUACCCCCAACCCUGUGCUCCCUAAGACAUGUGCUGUGUCUACUCAGGGUUAAAUGGAUUAAGGGCUGUGCAGGGUAUGCUUUGUUAAACAAAUGCUUGAAGGCAGCCUGCUUGUUAGGAGUCAUCACCACCCCCUAAUCUCAAGUACCCAGAGACACAAUACACUGGGGAAGGUCGCAGCGACUUCUGCCUAGGAAAGCCAGGUAUUGUCCAAGGUUUCUCCCCAUGUGGUAGUCUGAAAUAUGGCCUCGUGGGAAGGGAAAGACCUGACUGUCCCCCAGCCCGACACCCUUAAAGGGUCUGUGCUGAGGACGAUUAGUAAAAGAGGGAGGAACUCCUCUUUGCAGUUGAGAUAAGAGGAAGUCAUCUGUCUCCUGCUCGUCCCUGGGCAGUGGAAUGUCUCGGUGUAAAGCCCAAGUGUAUAUUCCAUCUACUGAGAUAGGAGAAAACCGCCUUAGGACUGGAGGUGGGACAUGCUGGCAGCAAUACUGCUCUUGAAAGCAUUGAGAUGUUUAUGUAUAUGCACAUCAAAAGCACAGCACUUUUUUCUUUACCUUGUUUAUGAUGCAGAGACAUUUGUUCACGUGUUUACCUGCUGAUCUUCUCUCCACUGUUAUCCUAUUGUCCUGCCACCUCCCCCUAUCCAGGAAACGCCCAAUAAUGAUCAAUAAAUACUAAGGGAACUCAGAGGCCAUUGCCAGUGUUGGUCCUCUGUAUGCUGAACGCCAGUCCCCUGGGCCCAUUUUUCUUUCUCU